rnacentral:ncRNA from 2 species
UGUAUCAUCGUCGCCGUUGGUGCUCGUCGAGGCGCUCCGCCAAGACAGUUCAACGGGAAUCAGGGAGGUCGAGGUCGGACGGACCGACACCUAACCUGAGCUGCCCCCGCAACGGUAAGCGGACGGCAAGGCCAGAUCGGCCUGCCGGCUCGUGACAACAUGCCACUGGGAUGCAUCGCCGGUCAAAGGAUCGGGCGAUGACGACUGGGAAGGCGUCACGGGUAGUCUCCGUCAGCCCGGAUACCGGCCAACGAGGUGGCGAACGG